rnacentral:lncRNA from 1 species
UGUAGACCUGCCCAAGCAUCAGGCUGAGAUUCCUGUGCCUUGCAGGACAGAUGGGAAUUUCAACCUACAUCUCUUCCAGCCUUGGAGUGGGCCAGGGACACACCCACCUUCCUUAUAGUAUGUGCUAGAGUUGGUGGCCAAAGGACUGAUGUUCUAAGAUAUUUGCCUACACGGAAUGAGCUAACAGCAAGUGGACUGGAC